CCUGCCUGGUGGAGGCCUUCUGAAGAUUUCCUGUGUAGGCCUGUCCCCAGGGACUGACAACCUGGUGUAGACAACUCAUAAAUAAAAUGAGUGAGACAUGAGCAAGAAAAAGCAUACCAUACUUCUGGGAAUCACUCCAGGAAAAUAAAUGUGCAAGAUGGCACAUCACCCUACACAAAGCUGGCAAAGGCUUUCCCAUGUCUCAAAUGACCAAAACACUUUGACGCUUCCUGAACUGCUCUCCCAGUGAAGGACAGGAUAAGGCAGGACAGGAGAGGAUGCAGCAGAGGGCCUACUGUGUUCUGUACUUUGUUCUUGAAAUGACCAGAGUAACCUCCCUCCCUCAAAGCACCUACUGUGAAUGUCUGCAGUCCAUGACAGGGUUCCAAGGCCUGGAAAGAUACCUGAGUCAGCAGAGCAUGCCCACCUGGAGUCUAUAAUAUCAGCAGGCACAUCAGCUUAAUGCUCAAAAGAAUAGUAGGAAUGCAUUUCUCCAGCCAUGAGAAAGUGCAUUACAUCUAUGCAGUUUGCCCCUACGUUCUCCAAACAGUCAUGUAAAACCAGCCCGUAUUUCCCUCUUACGGUGGGGUGAAUAUAAUUGUCUCUGAAAAAAUUCUGC